CGCGAAUGGCUCAUUACAACAGCCGUUGUUUCUUGGAUCUCUAAUUUUACUUGGAUAACUGUGGUAAUUCUAGAGCUAAUACACGCACUAAAGCUCUGACCUUACGGGACGAGCGCAUUUAUUAGAACAAAACCAAUCGGGCUUUGGCCUGUUCGUUGGUGACUCUGAAUAACUCUGCCGAUCGCACGGUCUCGCACCGGCGACGUAUCUUUCAAGUGUCUGCCUUAUCAACUUUCGAUGGUAGUUUAUGUGCCUACCAUGGUUGUAACGGGUAACGGAGAAUAAGGGUUCGACUCCGGAAAGGGAGCCUGAGAAACGGCUACCACAUCCAAGGAAGGCAGCAGGC
rnacentral:rRNA from 1 species